AUUGAACGCUGGCGGCAGGCCUAACACAUGCAAGUCGAACGGUAACAGGAAGCAGCUUGCUGCUUUGCUGACGAGUGGCGGACGGGUGAGUAAUGUCUGGGAAACUGCCUGAUGGAGGGGGAUAACUACUGGAAACGGUAGCUAAUACCGCAUAACGUCGCAAGACCAAAGAGGGGGACCUUAGGGCCUCUUGCCAUCGGAUGUGCCCAGAUGGGAUUAGCUAGUAGGUGGGGUAACGGCUCACCUAGGCGACGAUCCCUAGCUGGUCUGAGAGGAUGACCAGCCACACUGGAACUGAGACACGGUCCAGACUCCUACGGGAGGCAGCAGUGGGGAAUAUUGCACAAUGGGCGCAAGCCUGAUGCAGCCAUGCCGCGUGUAUGAAGAAGGCCUUCGGGUUGUAAAGUACUUUCAGCGGGGAGGAAGGGAGUAAAGUUAAUACCUUUGCUCAUUGACGUUACCCGCAGAAGAAGCACCGGCUAACUCCGUGCCAGGCCGCGGUAAUACGGAGGGUGCAAGCGUUAAUCGGAAUUACUGGGCGUAAAGCGCACGCAGGCGGUUUGUUAAGUCAGAUGUGAAAUCCCCGGGCUCAACCUGGGAACUGCAUCUGAUACUGGCAAGCUUGAGUCUCGUAGAGGGGGGUAGAAUUCCAGGUGUAGCGGUGAAAUGCGUAGAGAUCUGGAGGAAUACCGGUGGCGAAGGCGGCCCCCUGGACGAAGACUGACGCUCAG
rnacentral:rRNA from 1 species